GAUGAAGAACGUAGCGAAAUGCGAUACUUGGUGUGAAUUGCAGAAUCCCGUGAACCAUCGAGUCUUUGAACGCAAGUUGCGCCCGAAGCCAUCAGGUUGAGGGCACGUCUGCCUGGGCGUCACAUAUCGUUGCCCAAUGCCUAUUGCAGUGCAAUAGGAAUUUCUAGGGCGAAUGAUGGCUUCCCGUGAGCGUUGUUGCCUCGCGGUUGGUUGAAAAUCGAGUCCUUGGUAGGGUGUGCCAUGGUAGAUGGUGGUCGAGUUAGAACGAUACCGAUCAUGUGCAUGCUCCCCAAAAUAUGGCCUCUAUGAACCACACGCGUCUUUUGGCGCUCAUGACGAGACCUCAGGUCAGGCGGGGCUACCCGCUGAAUUUAAGCAUAUCAAUAAGCGGAGGAA
rnacentral:misc_RNA from 1 species